AGCCAGCCAAGAUCGAGCACAACACUUGCCGCAUCUAUUGGUGGCGCAACAUUCUGUACAUCAACAACUUCUUUCCACAGCGCGAGAUGUGCAUGAUGUGGAGUUGGUACAUGGCCAACGAGAUGCAGUUCUAUGUGAUGGCCGCCCUGCUGCUG
rnacentral:sRNA from 1 species